rnacentral:rRNA from 1 species
CUUGGCGGCGUGCUUAUACUGCAGUCGAACGGAGAGUUUUGUAGCAAUACGGAGCUUCUCAGUGGCGAACGGGCGAGUAACGAGUUGGUGACCUGCCCCGAAGUGUGGGAUAACAGUCCGAAAGGAUUGCUAAUACCGCAUGUGAUCAUUGGUUUUAGAAUCUGAUGAUUAAAGCAGUAAUGCGCUUCGGGAGGGACCUGCUUCCCAUCAGCUAGUUGGUGAGGUAACGGCCCACCAAGGCUACGACGGGUAAGGGACCUGAGAGGGUGGUCCCUCGCAAUGGCACUGAAACACGGGCCAUACACCUACGGGUGGCAGCAGUAGGGAAUAUUGGGCAAUGGGCGAAAGCCUGACCCAGCAACGCCGCGUGCACGAUGAAGGCCUUCGGGUCGUAAAGUGCUUUUCUGAGGAAUGAGUAAGGACAGUACCUCAGGAAUAAGCCUCGGCUAACUACGUGCCAGCAGCCGCGGUAAAACGUAGGAGGCGAGCGUUAUCCGGAUUUACUGGGCGUAAAGCGUGUGUAGGCGGUUCGGCAAGUUGGAUGUGAAAGCUCCUGGCUUAACUAGGAGAGGUCGUUCAAUACUACCGAACUUGAGGGCAUCAGAGGAAGGUGGAAUUCCCGGUGUAGUGGUGAAAUGCGUAGAUAUCGGGAGGAACACCGAUGGCGAAAGCGAUCUCCUGGGCCGUUCUUGACGCUGAGGCGCGAAAGCGUGGGGAGCGAACUGAAUUAGAUACUCAGGUAGUCCACGCCCUAAACGAUGGACACUAGGUGUGGGGGGGUAUCGACCCCUC